UACGGGGGGGGCAAGCGUUGUUCGGAAUUACUGGGCGUAAAGGGCUCGUAGGCGGCCAACUAAGUCGGAUGUGAAAUCCCCAGGCUUAACCUGGGAACUGCAUCCGAUACUGGAUGGCUUGAAUUCGGGAGAGGGAUGCAGAAUUCCAGGUGUAGCGGUGAAAUGCGUAGAUAUCUGGAGGAAUACCGGUGGCGAAGGCGGCAUCCUGGACCGACAUUGACGCUGAGGAGCGAAAGCUAGGGGAGCAAACGGG
rnacentral:rRNA from 1 species